UACGUAGGGUGCGAGCGUUAAUCGGAAUUACUGGGCGUAAAGCGUGCGCAGGCGGUUUUGUAAGACAGAGGUGAAAUCCCCGGGCUCAACCUGGGAACUACCUUUGUGACUGCAAGGCUUGAGUGCGGCAGAGGGGGAUGGAAUUCCGCGUGUAGCAGUGAAAUGCGUAGAUAUGCGGAGGAACACCGAUGGCGAAGGCAAUCCCCUGGGCCUGCACUGACGCUCAUGCACGAAAGCGUGGGGAGCAAACAGG
rnacentral:rRNA from 1 species